AAAUAAAUCUCAACUAAGUCCUAAUUUAAUCUUAAUUAAAAUCUAAUAGACUUCAAUCAAAUCCUAAACUAAACUCCAAAUCCUAAGCAAAUCCUAAAUCCUAAAUCUUAACCAAAUCAUAAACCUUAAAACCUAAUUAAAUUUUUAAUCCUAAAUCUUAGUCUAAUCCUAAUUCCUAACCAAAUUUUAAAUCUUAAUCCAAUCUUAAUCCUAAAUCAAACCCUAAAUAAAGCCUAACCAAUUUAAUAUAACCUUAGGACAAUUUAGAACCUUAAUAUCUAUCAAAUAAACGAAUGAUCUUGUUUAAAAUUUUAUCUACUUUUCAACAACUAAGUUGGCAACAAGCACAAAAAAAUUGAAGAGAAUCAAACUUACCAAAUAAAAAAAUAUCAAAAU
rnacentral:lncRNA from 1 species